AUUGAACGCUGGCGGCAGGCCUAACACAUGCAAGUCGAACGAGUGGUGGACGGGUGAGUAAUGUCUGGGAAACUGCCUGAUGGAGGGGGAUAACUACUGGAAACGGUAGCUAAUACCGCAUACCAUCGGAUGUGCCCAGAUGGGAUUAGCUAGUAGGUGGGGUAAAGGCUCACCUGGGCGACGAUCCCUAGCUGGUCUGAGAGGAUGACCGGCAACACUGGAACUGAGACACGGUCCAGACUGCGACGGGAGGCAGCAGUGGGGAAUAUUGCACAAUGGGCGAAAGCCUGAUGCAGCCGUGCCGCGUGUAUGAAGAAGGCGUGCGGGUUGUAAAGUACUUUCAGCGGAGAGGCGUGCCCCGCAGAAGAAGCACCGGCUAACUCCGGGCCAGCAGCCGCGGUAAUUG
rnacentral:rRNA from 1 species